GCGAAAGCAAUUAUCUGGGUAUAUACUGACACUGAGAAACGAAAGCUUGGGUAGCGAACGGGAUUAGAUACCCCGGUAGUCCAUGCUGUAAACGAUGAGUGCUAAUAUUUAGAAUAUUUAUAAUUUUUAGAUAAUACAGCUAACGCGUUAAGCACUCCGCCUGAAAAGUACGAUCGCAAGGUUGAAAUUCAAAGGAAUUGACGGGAGUCUACACAAGCGGUGGAGCAUGUGGUUUAAUUCGAUAAUACGCGCAGAACCUUACCAACUCUUGAAAAUUUGAUUAAAAAAUAAUUUUAGUUUAAACAGGUGUUGCAUGGCUGUCGUCAGUCCGUGUUGUGAAAUGUUUGGUUAAUUCCUUUAACGGACGCAACCCCUAUUAUUAGUUGCCACUUUAUUUAAAAUAUAAAAGCACUCUAAUAAAACUGUCAAUGAUAAAUUGAAGGAAGUGGGGAUGAGGUCAAGUCUUCAUGGCCCUUAUGAGUUGGGCUACACACGUGCUACAAUGGUAAUUACAAUGAGACGCAAUAAUGUUUUUAAAUUGGAGCAAAUCUUUAAAAGUUAUCUUAGUUCGGAUUAUAGGCUGAAACUCGCCUAUAUGAAGCUGGAAUCGCUAGUAAUCGCAGAACAGCACGCUGCGGUGAAUAUGUUACUAGACUUUGUACACACCGCCCGUCACAUCCUGGAAGUUAAAAAUUUUUAAAGUCAUUAAUAAAUAAUUUUUUUUUAUAAAAGAAUAA
rnacentral:rRNA from 1 species